rnacentral:rRNA from 1 species
AUUAAUUUGAGAGUUUGAUCCUGGCUCAGGACGAACGCUGGCGGCGUGCCUAAUACAUGCAAGUCGAACGAACUCUGGUAUUGAUUGG